rnacentral:rRNA from 1 species
AGAGCGAACGCUGGCGGCAGGCUUAACACAUGCAAGUCGAGCGCCCCGCAAGGGGAGCGGCAGACGGGAGAGUAACACGUGGGAACGUACCUUUCGGUUCGGAACAACCCAGGGAAACUUGGGCUAAUACCGGAUACGUCCGUAAGGAGAAAGAUUUAUCGCCGAAAGAUCGGCCCGCGUCUGAUUAGCUAGUUGGUGAGGUAACGGCUCACCAAGGCGACGAUCAGUAGCUGGUCUGAGAGGAUGAUCAGCCUCACUGGGACUGAGACACGGCCCAGACUCCUACGGGAGGCAGCAGUGGGGAAUAUUGGACAAUGGGCGCAAGCCUGAUCCAGCCAUGCCGCGUGGGUGAUGAAGGCCCUAGGGUUGUAAAGCCCUUUUGUCGGGACGAAAUCGUACGGGUGAAUAUCCCGUGCGGAUGACGGUACCGGAAGAAUAAGCACCGGCUAACUUCGUGCCAGCAGCCGC